CGUGUAGGCGGUUGGGUAAGUCAGAUGUGAAAGCCCUGGGCUCAACCCAGGAAGUGCAUUUGAAACUACCCAACUUGAGUACGGGAGAGGAAGGGGGAAUUCCCGGUGUAGAGGUGAAAUUCGUAGAUAUCGGGAGGAAUACCGGUGGCGAAGGCGCCCUUCUGGACUGAUACUGACACUGAGACGCGAAAGCGUGGGGAGCAAACA
rnacentral:rRNA from 1 species